ACUCAACUGCCACCACUGAAAGUGCCUCUGACUAAGUCAAAUAAGAUGCUCAGAUGUUUUAGUAUGUUUUUCCUGGCAUUUAAGAAAAAUAUUAUUUCAAGCAGAAGCCCAAAGGUUUUGUUCUUACACUGGCUGCUAUUUGGAAUUUUUCGGUUACUCUGCCCGCUUCUGUUGAGGAGCUCAGUGGCGUUGGACAUCCAGAACAUCAAGGGUCUAAGGUCCGAUGACAACUUCUGGACAUUGGCUGUGCUAAUCUCGAUUUCUGGCUCACUGGAACUGGACACAACAGCUACAGCACUAUAUAUCUUCUCGCCUCACCUGCAACAAGCCAUCAGCGUGCCGAGGAUGGAACUUCAGAACAGACUCUGUGGAUCCUAGAUAGUGCCUCAGCGCCUCCUGCUUGUCCGCCAACCCCGAGGAGCAGCAUGGAUGCGAGCCGUCCGAGUGCCACGGCAGCGUCAAUGCCAACGGAGGAGCCGGGGUGACUCGGGGGUCGCGGUACAAGAAGAGGAAGUGGUUCCCGAGACCGAUGAUAUCGCCGGGGUUUAGGACUGUCUCCCUGUAAAGAGCCACCCCGUUGUGUGUGACGCCACCUCCUCGGAAAGGACGGAUCAAGGCUGAAAUAACGUGGACAUAGAUGAGAGCAGAAUACAGUAUUCCUUUAAUAACCAAUCCAGAAUGUUUGUAUUUUAUAUUUUCUUUGGACAGUUAUGAUAAAAAUCAAUAGUUUUUCAAAUAUGAGCCACUACCAAAUGGUUAGGAUGUCUACGGUGGUACGGUGGGUGACUGGUUAGCACAUUUCUGAGGACUGGGGUUCAAAUCCCGGCCCCGCCUGU